rnacentral:lncRNA from 1 species
UUUAUACAAACACAGAUUAUACAAAAUACAAUGUAUAAUUUAUGUUUGUAUAAAGCGAGAGAGAGAACGAUAUUUGAUAUACAAACGUUUUAUUUCGAUUCAAUUGUAUACAAAUUCAAAUUUUAUACAGAUAUACAGACACAUAAAAUUAAAUUGAGAGACUCUCAACGAUUUAUACAAACAAGAGGCUGACAACAAUUUAUACAAAUGGCCUGCCAGCGAAAUUAUACAACUCUGAAGAGGAGCCAACGAAUUAUA